rnacentral:rRNA from 2 species
ACGUAGGUGGCAAGCGUUGUCCGGAUUUACUGGGCGUAAAGGGAGCGUAGGCGGAUUUUUAAGUGGGAUGUGAAAUACCCGGGCUCAACCUGGGUGCUGCAUUCCAAACUGGAAAUCUAGAGUGCAGGAGGGGAAAGUGGAAUUCCUAGUGUAGCGGUGAAAUGCGUAGAGAUUAGGAAGAACACCAGUGGCGAAGGCGACUUUCUGGACUGUAACUGACGCUGAGGCUCGAAAGCGUGGGGAGCAAACAG